CAGUCGCCGCGGGAAUACGAAGGGUGCAAGCGUUACUCGGAAUUACUGGGCGUAAAGCGUGCGUAGGUGGUGGUUUAAGUCCGUUGUGAAAGCCCUGGGCUCAACCUGGGAAUUGCAGUGGAUACUGGGUCACUAGAGUGUGGUAGAGGAUAGUGGAAUUUCCGGUGUAGCAGUGAAAUGCGUAGAGAUCGGAAGGAACAUCUGUGGCGAAGGCGACUAUCUGGGCCAACACUGACACUGAGGCACGAAAGCGUGGGGAGCAAACAGGAUUAGAGACCCCGGUAGUCCCUGUCUCUUAUAA
rnacentral:rRNA from 1 species